UUUUAUUAACUAACGAGUUUAUUGGUAGAUAUCCCAAAGAUGAUCAAGGUGUUAAAGACUAAAUUGUUUCAUAAUGUUUCAAUAUUCCAGCAAGUUCAGUGACAUUUAUGAUGAAGAAUAUUUUGUCAAUACCUUGAAAAAUGAUGUACGGGUGGUUGAAAAGAUUCCCGAGUACCUGAUGGAAAGAUUUGGCAGCAACAUGACAAAUGUUUUCAAUUUCAGGAUCAAGGCAUGGUCAUCCAUUCAGUAUUACAGGGAUGUGGUACUUCCAAAGUUACUUGAAGAAAAGUGAGUUACGAAUCUUAUGAUAUUUGUUGUAUGAAAUUAUUGCUUAUUAUCAUUGAUCUCUGAUGGUUAAAUCAUUUAGAGUAAUUGGUAUUUUGUCCAUGGUAUUUGGAAAAAGGAGGCAUUGCCAAAAGUUGGUAUUAGGAAAUUUGUUAACAGAAAACACAAUAGUCUAAAUCCAUACCUAUUAAUGACUUUUUAAUCUAUGUGCCUCAACCUUAAACAUCUAGAUAUGUCGAAUGUUGGGGUUAGUGUUUAUAACUUAUAUUUAUCAAUUCAACACUUAUCGUUGAAGUUGUGGGAUUUUAGAGAAAAAGAUGAGAGAAAAUAAUAAGAGUUUGAAUAUUAUUAAUAAUAGCUUAAUGUUGACUUCAUUACAAAAGACUCAAUACUAAUCUCUAUUUAUAGAGAAACAUAGACUCAAUCCUAAAUAAGGAAUAAAUCAUAAUAAUAAUGAGAGAUAUUCUAAGAUAUCUCUAUGAUUAUAAAUUGAUCCUAAGAAAUAACUCAAGAUAUUCUAAUAUAAUAUAAAAGAUCUUAUAAGAUAUUUUCUAAUAUUCUACCACUUAUCAUUGUUCUUUUUUUUGUCUUGCAGAACAUAUAAUACUUUUGUAUUUGUUCUAAUUUAAAUUUUCACAUGACUUGGUGGUUUCAUAUUUUUGUCUGUUUAUUAUUGAAUAUAUAUAUAUAUAGGAGAAGUCAAAUUACAUCCAAAGAGUUACACUAAGAAUUAGACUUGUUUAAUAACAUCGUGUUCGAUGAAUAUUUUUCAAAAUCAACCGUUGGAUUGAAAACCACUAUUAUAUAGAUCAUAUUUAUAAAUUUUGACAUUAAUCCAUAAUAAUUUCCCAAGUCAUUAUGUUGCGUUAAGAUCAAUGUCAACAAUAUAAUUAUAUAUAAUGUUAAUUUUGAUGCAUGUUGAUGACAUACAUAGCAUAUGGAAAGAUCCUAGGUAUGUUUGUUUUUCUAUCUUUUAAUUUGAGUUUUUCUAGGAUUGGGUGCUCUACACCACUAUGUUUUAUGGUUCUUAUAAAAUUACACUGUUUUAUUAACUAACGAGUUUAUUGGUAGAUAUCCCAAAGAUGAUCAAGGUGUUAAAGACUAAAUUGUUUCAUAAUGUUUCAAUAUUCCAGCAAGUUCAGUGACAUUUAUGAUGAAGAAUAUUUUGUCAAUACCUUGAAAAAUGAUGUACGGGUGGUUGAAAAGAUUCCCGAGUACCUGAUGGAAAGAUUUGGCAGCAACAUGACAAAUGUUUUCAAUUUCAGGAUCAAGGCAUGGUCAUCCAUUCAGUAUUACAGGGAUGUGGUACUUCCAAAGUUACUUGAAGAAAAGUGAGUUACGAAUCUUAUGAUAUUUGUUGUAUGAAAUUAUUGCUUAUUAUCAUUGAUCUCUGAUGGUUAAAUCAUUUAGAGUAAUUGGUAUUUUGUCCAUGGUAUUUGGAAAAAGG
rnacentral:lncRNA from 1 species